UACGUAGGGUGCGAGCGUUAAUCGGAAUUACUGGGCGUAAAGCGUGCGCAGGCGGCGCGUUAAGACAGGUGUGAACGCCCCGAGCUUAACUUGGGAAUUGCGCUUGUGACUGGCGUGCUGGAGUGUGGCAGAGGGAGGUGGAAUUCCACGUGUAGCAGUGAAAUGCGUAGAGAUGUGGAGGAACACCGAUGGCGAAGGCAGCCUCCUGGGCCAGCACUGACGCUCAUGCACGAAAGCGUGGGGAGCAAACAGG
rnacentral:rRNA from 1 species